AAGUGGCUAGUCUAACCGCAAGGAGGACGGUCACCACGGUAGGAUUCAUGACUGGGGUGAAGUCGUAACAAGGUAGCCGUAUCGGAAGGUGCGGCUGGAUCACCUCCUUUCCAG
rnacentral:rRNA from 1 species